rnacentral:rRNA from 1 species
CUACGGGCCGCUCCAGUUAGGAAUAAUCUACAAUGCGCGAGAGCGUGAUAGUUUGAGCCAGAGUGUUUUCCAACAUGGAAGACUUUUGCCAAAUGUAAAUAGUUUGGCGAAUAAGGACUGGGCAAGACUAGUGCCAGCCGCCGCGGUAAUCCUAGCGGUCCAAGUCGCAGCCAUCUUUAUUGGGUCUAAAAUAUCCGUAGCUUGCUUAAUAAGUUCCUUGUGAAAUCCGGCUUCUCAAGAGUCGGGCGUGCAAGGAGUACUGUUGAGCUAGAGACUGGUAGACGUAGGAAGUACGUUCAAAGUAGCGGUAAAAUGUUUUAAUCUUGAACGGACUCACAAGAGCGAAGGCAUCCUACGAGAACAGUUCUGACAGUGAGGGAUGAAGGCUAGGGGCGCAAAGUGGAUUAGAUACCCCCGUAGUC